rnacentral:rRNA from 1 species
GUAGGUGGCGAGCGUUAUCCGGAAUGAUUGGGCGUAAAGGGUGCGUAGGUGGCAGAACAAGUCUGGAGUAAAAGGUAUGGGCUCAACCCGUACUGGCUCUGGAAACUGUUCAGCUAGAGAACAGAAGAGGACGGCGGAACUCCAUGUGUAGCGGUAAAAUGCGUAGAUAUAUGGAAGAACACCGGUGGCGAAGGCGGCCGUCUGGUCUGUUGCUGACACUGAAGCACGAAAGCGUGGGGAGCAAAUAGGAUUAGAUACCUUAGUAGUCCACGCCGUAAACGAUGAGAACUAGGUGUUGGGGGAAUAACUCAGUGCCGCAGUUAACGCAAUAAGUAAUCCACCUGGGGAGU